CCAACUGUGAGCAUACACAUACAUAGGGUAAAUCAGACACCGCCUCCUCAAACUGGACUAUAAAAUCUGGUGCAUUUGCCACCAGCUGCUCCUUUCUGCUCAGAGACCCCUUUCUCUAUAGAGAGAGCUGUUUCUCUUUCUCUUCUUUUCUGCCUAUUAAACCUCCACUCCUAAACUACUCUUGUCUGUCUGUGUCUUAAAUUUUCCUGGCGCAUGACAAUGAAUCCCAGGUAUAUGCCCCAGACAAUAUUGCUGCUUCAUAAUGGGAACCUCGUUCGGGAUACCAAGGUACAACAUUCAUCAAAACGGUUGAACUAUUAUUCACAGAAUUCUGAGUUGGAGUUCUGAGCACUUCUGAGAAUCUUGAUGGUGUCUUCCUCGUUGCCCAGG
rnacentral:lncRNA from 10 species